GUUAAAAAGCUCUAGUUGGAUCUCGGCGGGCAGGGGGUGGUUCGCUCCCCAGCGCUACUGCCCCGCUUUGCCCGUGUGAUUGGCGGAGGUUUCGGGGUGCUCUUCGUUGAGUGACUCGGAGCGCCGUCAGGUUUACUUUGAAAAAAUUAGAGUGCUCAAAGCAGGCUUUUCACGCUUGAAUAUUCGUGCAUGGAAUAAUGGAAUAGGAACUCGUUUCUAUUUUGUUGGUUUUCGGAAAUCGAGUUAAUGAUUAACAGGGACAAUUGGGGGCAUUAGUAUUCAGACGACAGAGGUGAAAUUCUUGGACCGUCUGAAGACUGACUACUGCGAAAGCAUUUGCCAAGAGUGUUUUCAUUAAUCAAGAACGAAAGAUAGAGGUUCGAAGGCGAUCAGAUACCGCCCUAGUUCUAACCAUAAACGAUGCCAGCUAGCGAUCUGCCGAGUUUUUUUUGUAAGGCUCCGCAGGAAGCUUUCGGGAAACCAAAGCUUUUGGGUUCCCGGGGGAAGUAUGGUUGCAAAGCUGUA
rnacentral:rRNA from 1 species